rnacentral:rRNA from 1 species
CCCAGACUCCUACGGGAGGCAGCAGUGGGGAAUAUUGCACAAUGGGGGGAACCCUGAUGCAGCGACGCCGCGUGGGUGAAGGAGCGUUUCGGCGCGUAAAGCCCUAUCGGCAGGGAAGAAGAUGACGGUACCUGACCAAGAAGCCCCGGCUAAAUACGUGCCAGCAGCCGCGGUAAUACGUAUGGGGCAAGCGUUAUCCGGAUUUACUGGGUGUAAAGGGAGUGCAGGCGGCUUGGCAAGUCUGAUGUGAAAGGCUGGGGCUCAACCCCAGGACUGCAUUGGAAACUGUUAGGCUGGAGUGUCGGAGAGGUAAGCGGAAUUCCUAGUGUAGCGGUGAAAUGCGUAGAUAUUAGGAGGAACACCAGUGGCGAAGGCGGCUUACUGGACGACAACUGACGCUGAGGCUCGAAAGCGUGGGGAGCAAACAGGAUUAGAUACCCGAGUAG